AGUCGUANCAAGGUAGGUGUGUCGGAAGGUGUACCUAGGAGUAUAUA
rnacentral:rRNA from 1 species